AGCUCCAAUAGCGUAUAUUAAAGUUGUUGCGGUUAAAAAGCUCGUAGUUGGAUUUCGGCGGGGAGAGGUUGGUUUGAAUUGCUUCACCCCUGACUUUUUUUCCCUUGUUUUUUGGCCGAAUCCUUCGUGUGAUUUUUACCUGUUGUCCGUUGGAACUGGCAGGUUUACUUUGAAAAAAUUAGAGUGAUCAAAGCAAGCUUAAUGCUUGAAUAGUUGCGCAUGGAAUAAUAGAAUAGGAAGUCGUUUGUAUUUUGUUGGUUUUCGGAAAUCGACGUAAUGAUUAAUAGGGAUAGUCGGGGGCAUUCGUAUUCAAACGACAGAGGUGAAAUUCUUGGACAGUUUGAAGACGAACUAAGGCGAAAGCAUUUGCCAAGCAUGUUUUCA
rnacentral:rRNA from 1 species